rnacentral:rRNA from 1 species
CAGUCGCCACGGUAAUACAGAGGGUGCGAGCGUUAAUCGGAUUUACUGGGCGUAAAGCGUGCGUAGGCGGCUUUUUAAGUCGGAUGUGAAAUCCCUGAGCUUAACUUAGGAAUUGCAUUCGAUACUGGGAAGCUAGAGUAUGGGAGAGGAUGGUAGAAUUCCAGGUGUAGCGGUGAAAUGCGUAGAGAUCUGGAGGAAUACCGAUGGCGAAGGCAGCCAUCUGGCCUAAUACUGACGCUGAGGUACGAAAGCAUGGGGAGCAAACAGGAUUAGAGCCCCGGUAGUCCCUGUCUCUUAUACA